UUUCAGGUCCCCCAAUUCACUGCUGGCCAUAGCUCAAGAUCUGUCCAAAACUCUACAGACCACUUCUAGGCUUCAGAAAGGAUGGAGGAGGAAACAUGGAGAGACAGAGCAGCUGGCCAGAAUCUGGAGGUCAUGGAAGGGAGUGGUUGACUCAAACCCUAAGCUGUGGCUUCUGUGGGACUGGCAGCUCAUCUUCUUGGUCUUCAGCACAUAGUAAUCCAGGGAUGUAGAAGAUCUGGAAAUAAGUUGGAAGAUCAAACAAAUAUGGAAAGUUAGAAUGAUGGAAGAAUGGAAGGAAGAAAAAUAUGGAAGAUGGAACUAAAGAAUGCAAACCAGAAAAAGUUGUGU
rnacentral:lncRNA from 1 species